rnacentral:lncRNA from 1 species
AGGAAGACAGCCACACCUCACUCUGCAGCAUGGUAUAAGUUUGCUAGGUAAGGUUUUGGGAAGGAUUUGAUCAGGAACACCAGUGGCACCAGCAGGAGACUUGUCUCCUCUAUCAACAGUUAUCAGAGCUUAAUGAUGUCCCAUCCGCUUUCGACCAGCAAGAAUGACACGACCACCAGUUCUUCUAACAGCAGUUUAUUCAGCAAGCUUCAGUCUUCAUCUCUCUCUCUCUUCAUCUCUCUCCCUUCAUCUCUCUCUCUCUCUCAAACCCUGGGCCUCUCACUCUUAUAUACUCUCAGCCCCCAUCCACUCAUGGCAGGCCAUGUCACCUCACAAGGCACGCGGCUUCAGUUAAUCAGGGCAGCAGGGGCACGUCUCCACCAAAUAUGGACUUGUUUACACCACCAGCUCUGCAUCCCGCAGGUGCCAUCUUUCAGGUGCGGCUCGGGCAGCCCACAGCCUCCCCCAUAAUGACACAUAACUCACUCAGGUUCUGUGUCCUCACAGUUGUCACCACAGACCUUCUGAGACUGGCAUUCCUUUGACUAUAUAUUCCCAUUGGAAUAUGACAAGAACUCUAUGCCAUCCCCAUAGAACAACAGAUUUCUAACUGUAUUUGCCGAACUCAGUCAAACAAUGGUUACUGGCUGUUCCUUAUGCUUUGACUGCUUCUUGGAGACACUCAGAGCAACACAUUCUGCAAAUAUCCAGGUCCUGAUGAUGUUGUCUCACUGUUUUUUUCCCUUGGGGUAAACAGACCCAGGGAGUUCUGUCAUGUUCUAAGCGAUAUGACUCACAUGUGUCUUUGGAAACACCUUGCUAGACAUCGUCUGGUGUAAAAUGACCUUCUGAGAACGAAAUGCAGACUGUGCACAAGAGAUAAAAUAAAUAUGACCAAUCCCAAUUAAAGCACACGUCCCCAGCUCAUCUCUGAGCUAAUGUGUUCCUUAACAAGUAUUUCAUUGACUGGGCUUCACCGAAGCUUGGCAUCACAUUCACAGCAGCUGCUCAUCUGACUAGUCAAUGCCUUUCUUUUAAAGGCUCAGUGUGAGAGAGCACAUCCUGAGAGAUUUGCACCAUCAUAGGGCACCUGGCUCCUAUGGGAGACCACAUCCUGAGUCAUAGCUGGGAUCUUCAUUUGAGAACAUAGCUACUUUUCAAGUGAUAACUAAGUUGUUUUCUAGAAGAGUUGGUUAUUCUCAGAAGUUUUAUGUUUGUAAAUUAAUUUCAUAUAUAUGAAAUUAAUAUAUAUAUAUAUAUAUAUAUAUAUAUAUAUAUCCCAGAUAUAACUUACCAAGUGAGGCAUAGUUGUUCGAAUAUUGCAGACCCAGAAAUCUUACUGAAAUGUUUAUGAAAUGGUGUCAAGAAUUGGCAUGAAAACAUAUUGGGUAGAACAUGCAAGGAAAUUAAUUAUAGAAGCCAAAGGGUCAUAAAAAUUUUCAUUAAUUUCACAGUAUCCCUACAUGGCACACUUUCAGAUGUCUUUCAUGUCUCUCUCUGGCAAUGUUGAUUCUACUAUAGGACAUGGGUUGGAUGUAAUGAGUGUCUGAUAUCAAUUUUGAUAUUCCAACAUAAAUAAUCAAUUCUUGCUGAACUAAAUUGUAGUAAGUUGACCAACCAGUUGGAGCCACACUUAUUAAUCAUCUUUAGAAUGAGCUCAUGGAGCUCAUUACGUCAUAAGCAUGAUGGGAAUAGGAAAGGAGUCAUGCAAGAGCCUUAGCCUUAGUAAUUCACCUAUUUGGAAUAUUACUUUACUCUUGGGUUCUUUUUCUGUAAAGCAAAGCCAAUAAACUUCUCUUAUUUCAUUUGUUUGAGGAUUAAGCAAGCAAAAUAAUUCAGCAAAAUAGCAAGCCAAUUUUUUGACAAUAAAAAUUUUUAAUAAACUGUGAGUAGAAAUGAUGUGUGAUAAAUUUGCAAAUAGCCAGCAUAUUUGGCCAAUAACAUUUAGAAUAUUAAAGAAAUUCAUAUUGUAUUCAUCCAAAGUCCAGCAAAAAUUUUGUAAGUUUUCUAUUCUCAUGUCAAGGAGAUUUUAAAAAUCAACAAUAAUAGUACAAGAAGUGAAUGUAAUAUGUGUUUGCUCUGUUCUCAAAUAUAUUUUAUGUGUGUCACAUUUGUUAAUCUGAUUAACAAAAAGGAAAAUUAUUUAUACAAUAGAUGCAUAAUCCAUCAAGAAUCAAAU